GCCAGCAUGAUGUAGUGGUUUGAGUGUUGGACUUUGACUCUGAAGACCAGGGUUUAAUUCCCAGUUCAGUCA